rnacentral:rRNA from 2 species
GAGGGGGGGGGGUGCUAUAAUGCAGUCGAGCGAACUUUUGGGAGCUUGCUCCCAAAAGUUAGCGGCGGACGGGUGAGUAACACGUGGGCAACCUGCCUAUAAGACUGGGAUAACUUCGGGAAACCGGAGCUAAUACCGGAUAACAUAUGAGACCACAUGGUCUCAUAUUAAAAGAUGGCUUUUAGCUAUCACUUAUAGAUGGGCCCGCGGCGCAUUAGCUAGUUGGUGAGGUAAUGGCUCACCAAGGCGACGAUGCGUAGCCGACCUGAGAGGGUGAUCGGCCACACUGGGACUGAGACACGGCCCAGACUCCUACGGGAGGCAGCAGUAGGGAAUCUUCCGCAAUGGACGAAAGUCUGACGGAGCAACGCCGCGUGAGCGAAGAAGGUCUUCGGAUCGUAAAGCUCUGUUGUUAGGGAAGAACAAGUACCGUUCAAAUAGGGCGGUACCUUGACGGUACCUAACCAGAAAGCCACGGCUAACUACGUGCCAGCAGCCGCGGUAAUACGUAGGUGGCAAGCGUUAUCCGGGAAUUAUUGGGCGUAAAGCGCGCGCAGGCGGUCCUUUAAGUCUGAUGUGAAAGCCCACGGCUCAACCGUGGAGGGUCAUUGGAAACUGGGGGACUUGAGUGCAGAAGAGGAGAGCGGAAUUCCACGUGUAGCGGUGAAAUGCGUAGAGAUGUGGAGGAACACCAGUGGCGAAGGCGGCUCUCUGGUCUGUAACUGACGCUGAGGCGCGAAAGCGUGGGGAGCGAACAGGAUUAGAUACCCUGGUAGUCCACGCCGUAAACGAUGAGUGCUAAGUGUUAGAGGGUUUCCGCCCUUUAGUGCUGCAGCAAACGCAUUAAGCACUCCGCCUGGGGAGUACGGUCGCAAGACUGAAACUCAAAGGAAUUGACGGGGGCCCGCACAAGCGGUGGAGCAUGUGGUUUAAUUCGAAGCAACGCGAAGAACCUUACCAGGUCUUGACAUCCCGUGACAACUCUAGAAGAUAGGAGCUUUCCCCUUCGGGGGAACACGGUGACAGGUGGUGCAUGGUUGUCGUCAGCUCGUGUCGUGAGAUGUUGGGUUAAGUCCCGCAACGAGCGCAACCCUUGAUCUUAGUUGCCAGCAUUAAGUUGGGCACCUCUAAGGUGACUGCCGGUGACAAACCGGAGGAAGGUGGGGAUGACGUCAAAUCAUCAUGCCCCUUAUGACCUGGGCUACACACGUGCUACAAUGGAUGGUACAAAGGGCAGCAAAACCGCGAGGUUAAGCCAAUCCCAUAAAACCAUUCUCAGUUCGGAUUGCAGGCUGCAACUCGCCUGCAUGAAGCCGGAAUCGCUAGUAAUCGCGGAUCAGCAUGCCGCGGUGAAUACGUUCCCGGGCCUUGUACACACCGCCCGUCACACCACGAGAGUUUGUAACACCCGAAGUCGGUGGGGUAACCGUAAGGAGCCAGCCGCCUAAGGUGACAGAGNNG